rnacentral:rRNA from 1 species
AGUCGAGCGAGAACCCCGCAAGGGGGGACAGCGGCGAAAGGGACAGUAAUGUGUAGAUUAUCUGCCCCCAGGCCCGGGAUAGCUGCGGGAAACUGCAGGUAAUACCGGAUAAUAUCUCCGGAUCAAAGGUGUGAUUCCGCCUGGGGAUGAGUCUACAUCCUAUUAGCUAGUUGGUAGGGUAACGGCCUACCAAGGCGAUGAUGGGUAGCGGGUGUGAGAGCACGACCCGCGUCAUUGGGACUGAGACACUGCCCAGACACCUACGGGUGGCUGCAGUCGAGAAUCUUCGGCAAUGGGCGCAAGCCUGACCGAGCGACGCCGCGUGCGGGAUGAAGGCCUUCGGGUUGUAAACCGCUGUCAGAGGGGAUGAAAUGCGUGGGGGUUCUCCCCCACGUUUGACAUAGCCUCAGAGGAAGGACGGGCUAAGUUCGUGCCAGCAGCCGCGGUAAGACGAACCGUCCAAACGUUAUUCGGAAUUACUGGGCUUAAAGGGUGCGUAGGCGGCGCGGAAAGUUGGGUGUGAAAUACCUCGGCUCAACCGAGGAACUGCGCCCAAAACUUCCGUGCUCGAGGGAGAUAGAGGUGAGCGGAACUUAGGGUGGAGCGGUGAAAU